rnacentral:rRNA from 1 species
AUGGCUUUGAUCGACCGGUGGCGGCCAGAGACGCACAGCUUCCAUUUUCUAUGUGGGGAGAUGACCGUGACCCUCUAGGAUUGGGGGAUGAUUACGACCCUACCGCUCGAGGGUCGUGCUCUCACAGGACGAGUGGAGAGGAAGAACUGGCACGAUAGGGUUAUCGCCCUCAUCGGCGACUCCCUCCCGCUAAGAAUAACCGGACUUCCGGCGUACCGAUGCCCUUGCUCCUCAAGUACCGGAGCAAGUGCCCGGAAGGUGCCGAACCCCGGGUGGUGGAGCAGUACGCCAGGGCCUACCUGUGGUAUCUUCUCAUGGAGGUAG